ACCUGUGAGGGGUUUGGGCAGAAAUCUGAGCCAUCUUCUCAAGAGCUAUCACUGAAUGCCUACCAUCUCUUGUGAACAAAUUUACUCUGCUCAGUGGAUGUCCGGAGUUCUGAGGUGGCAGCUCUACUGGACCCAUGCUGUCAAAACGGCCCACUGCCCCACAGUUGCAAUUUCCUGGCCCUCCUACACAAGGAACAGGCUGAGAACCACUGUGCUAGGUGCUAGCACCUCCGUAUCUACUUAUUAGAUCCCAGCAUGGGCCAGCCAAGCGUGCUCUCAAGGCUCAGCGGGUCUAUGCUGCCUGCCUCUGCUCCUCGAGCGUCCCCAGGUGUCAAGGCUGCCAUCACCUGCCUGUGGCUCAGCUUUAUCUCCAGCUCUGCCUCUCCCACCAGGCUCCUGGGACUGCGCUGCUUGGACAGUCUGGAUGGGGCCUCUGAGAAGACGCCUAGAGACCAAGUCUGAGCUGCCCACGUCCCAGAGUCACCAGAAGAGGUUCUGACUUUUGAAUGGCCACCAUCCACAGACUGGAAACUAAGACCCACGGGCCUGUCACAUCUCCCAGAGUGAUCCAGCGUCCUGUUCCUCUGGGGCCACCCUAAAUAAAAAAGACCCACUCCCCGCUCUGUGAGCCCCACCUACCUAACUAGAACAGGUGGCAGUGAAGAGUGUGUCUGCAAAACCACAGGCUCCGGACACCCUGCCAGCUCCAGGCCUGUCACCCGUCACCGUGGCUCCCAGCCCCCACCCAGCUUCUUCCUAUCUCGGGAAGAUCCAGUGAAGACUCAGGCCAAAUCCUCACAAAUCAGCAUCCUUGCAAGGGACUUCAAUAGUGGGAAACCAUCAUAGUAAGUCAUUCUGUCCCUCCAGGCCCCAUUCCAUGCCUUGCCCUCGGGCAGAAGUCAGGGACCCGAGGAAGGGACACAGGCACAGUACUAUGCUCAGGAAGCUCACAGCUCCUGAGGAGAUCCACCGGAGACCAGGCACUGUCACUGGGCCGUGGUAAGGUGGCUAUGGGGUUUUAGGACAACAUCCUAGACCAGGCCAGAAGGAGGCUCUCCAGCUCACGAAAGACAAGGAUUUCAAAAGAUGUGAAUCAUCCAGCAAAAGGGGCAUGGCUGCCUGCCGAGCCACCAUCAUCUCUACGUUCUUCAUAGGGCUAGGGGGUCUUACUGCCAUUGCCCUCAAGGAAACUGAGGCCCAGAGAUCCGAAGCAAGAGGCCUCAAACCCUAUUGUUCCCAGGCAGCCAAGCUGGUGGCCUAUAGGUCUUCCUAUACGUCCUGGGGUCUCUGCCGUGGCUGACAACAGUUAUUAGAACAUUCUCUGAUCUAAGGGCCGCAUCAGUGCUGAUAGCAUUGAAACCAAAGGCUCCCAGGCCAAAAGCAGCAGGGCAGGAGGAGGCCUAGCCACAGCAGAGGAAUGGCUGAGUCCAGCGGUUACC